rfam:Homo sapiens chromosome 4, GRCh38 reference primary assembly.
GCCAGGCAUGGUGGCGCAUGCCUGUGAUCCUAGCUACUUGGGAGGCUGCGGCCAGAGGAUCACUUGAGCUCAGGAAGUUGAGACUGCAGUGAGCCGCAUCAUGCCACUGCACUCCAGCCUGAGUGACAAAGUGAGACUUUGUCUCAG